GAGCGCAGCGAGAAAGCGUUGCCGCAGGCAACGACCCGAAGGGCGAAGCGCGCAGCGCUGAGUCAUCCUUCCCCCACCACCA
rnacentral:sRNA from 11 species